rnacentral:rRNA from 1 species
ACGUAGGUGGCGAGCGUUAUCCGGAAUGAUUGGGCGUAAAGGGUGCGUAGGUGGCAGAUCAAGUCUGGAGUAAAAGGUAUGGGCUCAACCCGUACUGGCUCUGGAAACUGAUCAGCUAGAGAACAGAAGAGGACGGCGGAACUCCAUGUGUAGCGGUAAAAUGCGUAGAUAUAUGGAAGAACACCGGUAGCGAAGGCGGCCGUCUGGUCUGGAUACUGACACUGAAGCACGAAAGCGUGGGGAGCAAAUAG